rnacentral:ncRNA from 12 species
AAGCGAAUCCGAUAAUACACCGAUGGCCUGCCAGAUGUUCCUGCCCUAAGAGGGCAACCAAAGUCUGGACCAACAGGCCAUCGGCACGGUUCGCCC